rnacentral:rRNA from 1 species
CGCUGAAGAGAGGAGCUUGCUCUUCUUGGAUGAGUUGCGAACGGGUGAGUAACGCGUAGGUAACCUGCCUUGUAGCGGGGGAUAACUAUUGGAAACGAUAGCUAAUACCGCAUAACAAUGGAUGACACAUGUCAUUUAUUUGAAAGGGGCAAUUGUUCCACUACAAGAUGGACCUGCGUUGUAUUAGCUAGUAGGUGAGGUAAUGGCUCACCUAGGCGACGAUACAUAGCCGACCUGAGAGGGUGAUCGGCCACACUGGGACUGAGACACGGCCCAGACUCCUACGGGAGGCAGCAGUAGGGAAUCUUCGGCAAUGGGGGCAACCCUGACCGAGCAACGCCGCGUGAGUGAAGAAGGUUUUCGGAUCGUAAAGCUCUGUUGUAAGUCAAGAACGGGUGUGAGAGUGGAAAGUUCACACUGUGACGGUAGCUUACCAGAAAGGGACGGCUAACUACGUGCCAGCAGCCGCGGUAAUACGUAGGUCCCGAGCGUUGUCCGGAUUUAUUGGGCGUAAAGCGAGCGCAGGCGGUUUGAUAAGUCUGAAGUUAAAGGCUGUGGCUCAACCAUAGUUCGCUUUGGAAACUGUCAAACUUGAGUGCAGAAGGGGAGAGUGGAAUUCCAUGUGUAGCGGUGAAAUGCGUAGAUAUAUGGAGGAACACCGGUGGCGAAAGCGGCUCUCUGGUCUGUAACUGACGCUGAGGCUCGAAAGCGUGGGGAGCGAACAGGAUUAGAUACCCUGGUAGUCCACGCCGUAAACGAUGAGUGCUAGGUGUUGGAUCCUUUCCGGGAUUCAGUGCCGCAGCUAACGCAUUAAGCACUCCGCCUGGGGAGUACGACCGCAAGGUUGAAACUCAAAGGAAUUGACGGGGGCCCGCACAAGCGGUGGAGCAUGUGGUUUAAUUCGAAGCAACGCGAAGAACCUUACCAGGUCUUGACAUCCCGAUGCUAUUUCUAGAGAUAGAAAGUUACUUCGGUACAUCGGUGACAGGUGGUGCAUGGUUGUCGUCAGCUCGUGUCGUGAGAUGUUGGGUUAAGUCCCGCAACGAGCGCAACCCCUAUUGUUAGUUGCCAUCAUUCAGUUGGGCACUCUAGCGAGACUGCCGGUAAUAAACCGGAGGAAGGUGGGGAUGACGUCAAAUCAUCAUGCCCCUUAUGACCUGGGCUACACACGUGCUACAAUGGUUGGUACAACGAGUUGCGAGUCGGUGACGGCGAGCUAAUCUCUUAAAGCCAAUCUCAGUUCGGAUUGUAGGCUGCAACUCGCCUACAUGAAGUCGGAAUCGCUAGUAAUCGCGGAUCAGCACGCCGCGGUGAAUACGUUCCCGGGCCUUGUACACACCGCCCGUCACACCACGAGAGUUUGUAACACCCGAAGUCGGUGAGGUAACCUUUUGAGCCAGCCGCCUAAGGUGACA